AACGAACGCUGGCGGCAGGCCUAACACAUGCAAGUCGAGCGAAGCCUUCGGGCUUAGCGGCGGACGGGUGAGUAACGCGUGGGAACGUGCCCUUUGGUACGGAAUAGCCCCGGGAAACUGGGAGUAAUACCGUAUGUGGUCGAGAGACGGAAGAUUUAUCGCCAAAGGAUCGGCCCGCGUUGGAUUAGGUAGUUGGUGGGGUAAUGGCCUACCAAGCCGACGAUCCAUAGCUGGUUUGAGAGGAUGAUCAGCCACACUGGGACUGAGACGCGGCCCAGACUCCUACGGGAGGCAGCAGUGGGGAAUCUUAGACAAUGGGGGAAACCCUGAUCUAGCCAUGCCGCGUGAUCGAUGAAGGCCUUAGGGUUGUAAAGAUCUUUCAGUGGGGAAGAUAAUGACUGUACCCACAGAAGAAGCCCCGGCUAACUCCGUGCCAGCCGCCGCCGUAAAAC
rnacentral:rRNA from 1 species